GGUAACAGCGGGACGCAGGGCGAGGUAAUACGUAGGGGGGAAGAGUUAUACGGAAUUAUUGGGCGUAAAGCGCGGGUAGGCGGUUUUUUAAGUCGGAUGUGAAAGCCCACGGCUCAACCGUGGAGGGUCAUUGGAAACUGGAAAACUUGAGUGCAGAAGAGGAAAGUGGAAUUCCAUGUGUAGCGGUGAAAUGCGCAGAGAUAUGGAGGAACACCAGUGGCGAAGGCGACUUUCUGGUCUGCAACUGACGCUGAUGUGCGAAAGCGUGGGGAUCAAACAGGAUUAGAUACCCGUGUAGUC
rnacentral:rRNA from 1 species